rnacentral:rRNA from 1 species
GACGAACGCUGGCGGCGUGCUUAACACAUGCAAGUCGAACGGAAAGGCCCUGCUUUUGUGGGGUGCUCGAGUGGCGCACGGGUGAGUAACACGUGAGUAACCUGCCCUUGACUUUGUGAUAACUUCAGGAAACUGCGGCUAAUACCGGAUAGGAGCUCCUGAUGCAUGGGGGGGGUUGGAAAGUUUCGGCGGUUGGGGAUGGACUCGCGGCUUAUCAGCUUGUUGGUGGGGUAGUGGCUUACGAGGGCUUUGGCGGGUAGCCGGCCUGAGAGCGUGACCGGCCACCUUGGGACUGCGAUACGGCCCAGUCUCCAACGUGAGGCAGCAGGGGGGAAUAUUGCACAACGGGGGGGAGCGUGAUGCAGCAACGCCGCGUGCGGGAUGACGGCUUUCGGGUUGUAAACCGCUUUCGCCUGUGACGAAGCGUGAGUGACGGUAAUGGGUAAAGAAGCACCGGCUAACUACGUG